AGAGUUUGAUCCUGGCUCAGGAUGAACGCUAGCGGCAGGCUUAACACAUGCAAGUCGAGGGGCAGCGGGGAGGAAGCUUGCUUUCUCCGCCGGCGACCGGCGCACGGGUGAGUAACACGUAUGCAACCUGCCCCUGUCAGGGGGACAACCCGCCGAAAGGCGGGCUAAACCCGCGUACAUGCCACCGGGGCAUCCCGGAGGCAGGAAAGGCUUCGGCCGGACAGGGAUGGGCAUGCGGCGCAUUAGGCAGUAGGCGGGGUAACGGCCCACCUAACCGACGAUGCGUAGGGGUUCUGAGAGGAAGGUCCCCCACACUGGUACUGAGACACGGACCAGACUCCUACGGGAGGCAGCAGUGAGGAAUAUUGGUCAAUGGUCGGGAGACUGAACCAGCCAAGCCGCGUGAGGGAGGAAGGUACAGAGUAUCGUAAACCUCUUUUGUCAGGGAACAAAGGCGGGGACGUGUCCCCGGAUGAGUGUACCUGAAGAAAAAGCAUCGGCUAACUCCGUGCCAGCAGCCGCGGUAAUACGGAGGAUGCGAGCGUUAUCCGGAUUUAUUGGGUUUAAAGGGUGCGCAGGCGGUCUGUUAAGUCAGCGGUCAAAGCCCGGGGCUCAACCCCGGCCCGCCGUUGAAACUGGCAGUCUCGAGUUGGAGAGAAGUAUGCGGAAUGCGCGGUGUAGCGGUGAAAUGCAUAGAUAUCGCGCAGAACUCCGAUUGCGAAGGCAGCAUGCCGGCUCCACACUGACGCUGAGGCACGAAAGCGUGGGUAUCGAACAGGAUUAGAUACCCUGGUAGUCCACGCAGUAAACGAUGAAUGCUGGCUGUCCGGGGGGAUUGACCCCUGGGUGGCGAAGCGAAAGCGAUAAGCAUUCCACCUGGGGAGUACGCCGGCAACGGUGAAACUCAAAGGAAUUGACGGGGGCCCGCACAAGCGGAGGAACAUGUGGUUUAAUUCGAUGAUACGCGAGGAACCUUACCCGGGCUCAAACGGGGAGUGACUCAGGCAGAGACGCCUGUUUCCCACGGGACACUCCCCGAGGUGCUGCAUGGUUGUCGUCAGCUCGUGCCGUGAGGUGUCGGCUUAAGUGCCAUAACGAGCGCAACCCCCGCGUGCAGUUGCUAACAGAUAACGCUGAGGACUCUGCACGGACUGCCGGCGCAAGCCGCGAGGAAGGCGGGGAUGACGUCAAAUCAGCACGGCCCUUACGUCCGGGGCGACACACGUGUUACAAUGGGUGGUACAGCGGGAAGCCAGGCGGCGACGCCGAGCGGAACCCGAAAUCCACUCUCAGUUCGGAUCGGAGUCUGCAACCCGACUCCGUGAAGCUGGAUUCGCUAGUAAUCGCGCAUCAGCCAUGCCGCGGUGAAUACGUUCCCGGGUCUUGCACUCACCGCCCGUCAAG
rnacentral:rRNA from 1 species